rnacentral:lncRNA from 1 species
GGGGGGCGGGGAAAAGGGAGGAGGGCCAGAAGAUGGUUGUGUUGGAUGUGAAUGGGGCGGGUGGGCGCCAGGGGCAAUUAUGACCGCAGGCUGGUUUAGGGGUUGGGUAAGGUCAGGUGUCCUCUGGGGUUGGGAGGAGGAAGGUCGGCUGGUGGCCCAGCUGCGGGGUUCUGGUGGGUCCAGGCCGAUGGAGUGGCUCACCUGUGUAGGCCAGGACGCAGGAAAGAAAAACCCCAACUUUGGUAACAGGAUUCCAGUGAGGAAUUCUGGUUGUUCUGAUGCUUUGCAUGAAACACUUUGAACUUUCAGAAAAGAGCUUUAGAUUUGUUGGCAGGACCAGCCAAGAGCUCCAGAAAAGGACGUCUGUCCAGUGCAGGAGCCCUAGAGCACAGCUGUGUCACAGAGGCUUGAGAAGAGGUGCAGACUGAGCCCAGGCACAGGAGGAAGAGUGCGAGCACACGUGCGUCUUGGAAGCUCUGGCUGACUUCGAGAAGGACCGAUUACCAUUUUCCAGCACACAGAAUGCUUUCUUAUUUGUGUCUGAUUUCUGUUUCUUCCCUUCUGCUCUGGCUCUUGCCAGAUAUUUAAUAAUGUGAUUUUCUAUUUAAUCACAUUUUCUCACUCUACAGAGCACUUCCGUGG